GGACUUGGGCUAUGGAGCUUCCCGGCUGCAGGGAAACUGUCAGAGCUCCGCCAAGUCUUUCUGUCGCUGCAGAAGGAGCAGGCGAGGUUGGGAGCCGGGAUCCCAACUCGCCAAGUUCCCGAUUUCCCUUCGGCAGCCACAGAAGGGGCGGGAGAGCUUCCUGACUGCUCUACCAUGACCUCCCGGCCACCUCCAGGCAGUGUUUGUAUGUUUCCUUGCAAGCGACAGCCCCUACUAUGUAACCUGACCUGUGCAGCCAGGGGCCUGGUGCGGCGGCGGCGGCGGCGGCAGGAGCGCGGCCAUUGAGCUCUUUUUCUUUUGCCCACGAAUCUGGUGCGUCUCUUUCUCUCUCGAUCUCUCUCUUCCUCCCCCCCACCCCCGCUUAUUUUUUUGAAAACUGAUCUUUGGCUCUUAGUGUGAAAGUGAUUUGAAUUUGGCUCGGCGGCGCUCUGCGCAGGCGUUCAGCUGCUGGCAUGCUGGCUCUUUGCAAAGCAGCUGUUUUGGGUUUGAAAUUCCAACAUGGCAGAGGCUGCAGUCAGUCUUCCCUUCAAAAACUUGGAAUGAUUUCAAAUCAUACGCACCUUCACUUAACCCGAGCCCCCGUCCGUCAGCGAAUAGAUAGGAUCGAUUGUGCUCUAACCUACCGGGCUUUUCUACCAAACCUCCAGGUUAAAUGAAUACCUGACGAAAGGGCCCACGUUUCAAGGCAGUGACAUUUGAUAGCUGAGAGGAAAAGUGGCUUUAAUGAAAAACAACCUUUGGAAUUCCUGCUUGUGAGGAGGAAGAGAAGAAGAAAAAUCCAAUUCAGCUUUUUUUGUGCUGCCAGCAAGAAAUGAUCAGUAGCACCAGUGUUUAUGGGUGAGGAUAAAAAUGGAAGUCAAUAUAGCCAGUCUACCACACAGUGUGAGUGAAGGCUAAACCUCCAGGAAAGUCAGAUUAAAAUUUCAUUGCUUUCUGCCUUCUGUGUUGACUUGAGGGAAACUCAUGAAGUUGGUGCUGUGAAAAUAAGGUUUGAAGAUUGAUAUGGGCAUCACAAUUUGAUACCAAAAACAAAUGUAAAAACUAAGCAUCCUUUUCAAGUCAUAACGGAAGGUCCAGCCUGGAUAUAUCUGAACAUGACUGAAGGAACACCAUUUGUUUUCAAAAGAGAUUUCUCCUAUCACUCAUGAAUGGCUCCACCACGGAGAGAAAUAUCGAAAGAACUCAGAAAAGCAACAAUAUUCUUUCAUGUUGUUGAGUGCUCAAGACACAAGAUUGUUUCCAAGAAGGAAAAAGAAUUGAUCCUGUUUUGAAUUCCUUGUUGUUGGCAUUUGCGAGCCACAUUCUGUACAGAGAGCUAUAAAAAUUAAAUUAUCUAUUGGGUUCAUAAUGUGAAUACAAAUGUAGUUCAGACAUGCACAUCUUUGGUAGCCUAGGCAAAUAGGGCAGAGUAUGGUGUGGGGGGGAACGGUGUGUGUGUGUGUAUGUUUUUAGCAUUUGACUAUAUAGAUAUUAUAUCUUCUAUGUCUCCAUAAAUAACUACAGCUUUUACUGAAUCUAGAAGCAUAGAUUUUGAUCAGGUGUUUUAAUUCAUAUGCUUGUUUUAAAGUAAAUAUUGAAUAGUACAUGGACAUGUGCAGCAUGUUUAGUCAGCAGCAAGUCCCAAUGUGUAGAUAGGACUACAGAAAUCUAGCAGGUAAAGCUUUUAUAAUCACUUUAUCUCUGUGCCAGGAAACCUACUUGUUUUCUGUGCAAGGCUGCUGUUCAAGGCACGGGAGCAGGGCCAGGGAAAAAUAAAAUAAAAUUGCAACCCAUUAGAGGUUUUUUGAACAUUUUUGUCAGGAAUCCAGAACAAGGAUACAUAGAAACUCUUUGAAUUGACUGUUCGGUAACAAAGGGAAAAAAACUCCUGAAAUUACACCUUAAUAUGAGCAUUGGAUUGCAAAUAUUAAUGAAUUACUAUUCCUCAAAUGUCUUAAUGGCAAUCAGCACACAAAUGCUUUUUCACAAAGUAUUUAUGCAUAAUUGCCUUCAAUAUAGUGAAGUAAGAAAAAUGCAUUUUUUCAAAAAACUAUUUGCUCCAGUAUAGAUGUCAGUCCACAUCAUUGGGAUUACUCCAGAGUAAGUGAUCUGAGCAUAGAAGCUUAUUGAAGCAAAUCUAUAUUUGAAGCGGCUAAUGAAGUAACGAGAGAACAAGAAACAUCUUGUGAUCUUUGUUUCAUUAACCCCAUUACUUUGAACUGUUGCUAAUUAUAUGCCAUGCAGUGGUAUGUGCGAAGUAUAUACUGUGUAAGCUUUUCUUCUGCUUUUCCUUUGUUACUCUCUCAUCAAUCCUGCUAAAUUCUUCAACUGCCAUAAUGCUUGGAUUUAACUGGCUCAUUAUCUCUAUGUAUAAAGCCAUAGAGUGGAGAGCACUUGUAACUCAUGGUGCUUUCCUCUGGAGGUGUUCUGAUGUGUGGCGGCAACUGUGCUUGCUAGUAGGAUGCGCCACGUUUUGAAGAAACAAUUAAAGCUUUUUGCUGAUUUUCAGUUUUACCAAACAGGGCAGUACUACCAGAAGAAUUCAAAAGAGAUGAAGUAGUAUUCAGUGACCUGCCCUGGGAUAUAUCCAUAAAAGCUGAUCAUGUUUUUGAAUGUGUGCUUAGUAGGAUUUCCCAACUUUCCAUAGUUUCCAGCUAUUUUGCUUGAAUGGCUUAUAGUAGAAUAAUUAGCACACAUCCAUGUUAAAAUAUUACUUUUUCAAAAGACAUCACUUUAAGCUUUAAGCAAAUGAUAUUGCAUUUAAGAAUACAGCUUGUUAAACUUAUUCAUUUCCUUUGUUUUAUUUUUUUAAUCCUAUCAUUUCUCCAAGGAACUGAGGGUGGUGUACACAGUCUUACCCAGUUGUUUUCCUCACAAGAAGCAUUGGAUUGAAAGACUGGUGCAUGGUCACCUAGUUGCUUCAUCUCCAAGUGGGGAUUUGAACCCGAGUCUUCUCAGUCCUAGUGAAACCACUAUACCAGGGGUAGCCAAAGUGUUGCCAUCCAGAUGUCAUACUCCCAACUCCUGUCAGCCCCAGCCAGCAUGGCCAAUGGUCAGAGAUGAUGGGAGUUGUAGUUUAGCAACAUCUGGAGGGCACCAUUUUGACUUUCCUAGUAGUACACCAUACUUGCUUUUGCAUUAAUAUACUUAAGAAAAUAACUGGGGUGAUCUAGACCCCCGGAGUAAUAUCUUUCUCCUACUAUGUUUGCUGUUCCACGUGUAGGAGUCUCCUACUACCACCUGCCUCUCCCCAUAUACUGGGUAAAGUUUUUGAUUGGUCCUUAGUUUCUUAAUUUUAUUCUUUCCUUGGUCUUCAUAGUGACAAAAAUAUGUGCUGUUUAGUCUUAUGGAAUUGGUGGCUACACAGAUAUCUCAUGAAUUGAGAAUUGUUUUUAUGCAAACUGAUGUUUGUGCAGCAGAUGUGUCUGGGAAAGGAUUGAUUUGUUUGUCUUUGAACCAUUUUGUAUCUUUAAUUCACUAUAUAAAGCUUGGCCAAACUUCUUUUUUUCUCACAUGUUUUUCCCAGCCAUGCAAGGCAAUUCUGAACCCAAGCCAUCAUAUGAUAUUUUUUGCCUAAUCUCUGUUCAUUUUUCCAGGGUUGCUUUUAAAUGGAAUUGAGUUUUAUUACUAUGAGGAAGGAUUGCAGGAUAUAAUGAGGGGUGUAUGUGCAAUUUCUCCCCCAAGAUGAAAUGUGUUGAAUGGCAGACAGAUGCACACAGUAGGCGCUGUGUGUUUAGUUUUGCUGUGGGUUUACAAGGGCCCAUCUGUAGGUUUAGUCUGUAAACUAAAUGCAUCUCUCCCAAUCAUUAUCUAAGAAGAUGAUGCUUCUCAAAUUGGAGCAAUAUAUAUUUCUGUCUUUUUGUUUUUUUGCUCAAAUAACUAUAGGCAGAAUGCGCCCCCCUCCGCCCCCAAGUUAUUUUUUAAAAUUAGGAGGCCAGGAAUAGUAAUUUCACAAAAAUAAUAAAGGAAAAAUUGCUAGUGAAUUAUGAUAUUGGUGUCUGUACAAACAUUUGUUUGGAAAAAGCAGGUUUAGGUUUAUUAUCUUGCCAGAAGUGCCUUGUUACUUGCAAGCAUUUUCUGUAUGCAAAUGAUUUUACUUAAUCCCCCCCCCAGUUCUAAACACUUCAGGAAGUUAUUCUUUAAUUACUUUGAUAUACUUACAGAUAAUAAACCUCAGUGAUGACUUUUUUUAAAAAAAAAUUAACUAUAGCUGUGCUAUUGGAUGCUAUGCUGUAAGCAGCUGUGCAAUGACACUGAAAGUGUCCUUUCCAAGGGACUUUGAUACCUUUCUCUCCUCAUUUUGGACAACAUGUCCCCCCCCUUUUUAUUGUAUCGUAGAGUAUUAUUUAUUGCCUUAUCCUAUGCAUGCUUACUUGGAAGUAAGUCCUCUGGAAUUUAACUGGACUCCUACAACUGUAGCCUCAAUUUGAGAAGACAGAUGGAUUUGUUAAAUGGACUUCAUUCACACUUAAGUCUGUACACUGGUGUGCAAUUGGAAUGGCAGAAGAAUGUAGCCCAGGGCAUUGUAGAGUUGCCAAAUCCCUUGCAGGGUGGGGCUCAUGUUGUGUAUAAUAGCUGAGUGCAAGGGAAGGAUGCAUUCCACAGGUGCCUGUUUUCUUUACUGCUCUAGCACUAUGAUGUGAAAAGCUGCAUUAGCUAGAAUGUUGGGGUAUUAAAGGCAGGGGGUGCUGGAUUUUUUAUGUUGAAUUUCGAAAAGGCAACUGUAAGCUGACAAUCCUGCUGCCUCUUGCAAUGUUACCCUGUCCUCUAAAACUUCCUAUCUUUUCGAAUGGACUUAAUACAAGUCCCACUAAGUGUGCUUCUGAAGAUAACUAGGAACACUGAUAUGUUUACUGCUUUUAGCCAAAAUCAAGAAUGUUUAUCAGGCGAGACCCAUUUGGUAAUCUCUUUACCUGCCUCCCCCCCCCCCGCUCAGAGUGAAGUCGUGCAUACGUCUUUUGACUCUGCAGCCUACUGUGAGGAAAAUUUAACUCUUACAUUUAUCUGGAAUAACCUGCCCCCUAUGCCAUAUGAAGUAAUGUUAAGUGGUCAGAUUUGUAGAGGGCAGGUUAGACAAAGGGUAAGCAUCUGGGAGCUGAGCCUAAUUAAUGUUUCUCAAUUAAUUAUCCCUGCAAAUAUUUGAAGAGAAAAAAUGUGUUGCAGUUGUACAAAUAAUUAUUGAUUGUUGCUAAUAAAAGUCUGUGGGUGGGUGGGUGCUGCUUCCCCAUUAAUGUAAAACAACAUAAGAAACUGCUCAAUGUAAAGGGGAAUGGUAACAAUUAAUGGCUUGAAUUAAACAUCUUGUCUUGUUCAUUUAAGCAAGAGGGUUUUUAUCUUUUACUUUUUUCAUUCUAGAGCCAGUGUGGUGAAGUGGUUAGACCCAGGUUCAAAUCAAAUCACACUCAGCUAUGACUCUCACUGGGUAACCAUUGGCCAAUCAUAUGCCCUCUUCGCCUAACCUACCAGAGCUUUUUGAGGAUAAAAUUUGUAUGUGUGUGAGUGAGAGAGAAUCAAAUACACUGUCUGGAGCUCCUUGGAAGAAAGGCAGGGCAUAAAUGCAAUAAAUGAUUGCUUCCUUGGAUGGGUGGACACUUGAUGUCAGCUGUUGACUUCACACCCUCUUUUUAGAUUCCACCCCAGUUGUGUCCCCUGUGUUUGUCAGUUGGAAAAAACUUAGAAUCAUAGAGUUGGAAGGGGCCUAUUAGGCCAUCGAGUCCAACCCCUUGCUCAAUGCAGGAAUCCAAAUUAAAGCAUACCCAACAGGUGGCUGUCCAGCUGCCUCUUGAAUGUCUCCGAUGUUGGAGAGCAAUAUGCUUUUUUCUAUCAUGGGGAUUUGCCCAGAGAUAUCUGGCAUUCUAUAGCUUGGUAGCAUAGCCAGAUUUUUGCACCAAGAAAAAUUUUGACACUUGCAUAUAAAUCUGGCAAAUGGAAAUAUUCAAGCUCUUUUAGCAUGUAACCUGGGCCACCCUGGCAUGGGAUUUUAACUGCUAAGCCCAAUGGCAUCUCUCUGUUUGUUUUUUAUUAUUCACAAUGCAGUUUUAACUUUUCAGCAUGUUUAUUCUUAAAUACAUUAAAUUUACUCCCUAAGAAGGGGGUUUGGGAUUGCUAUGUGGAGCAUCUGGAAACCCUGAAGUAGCUUCUCAAAUCUCAUAGGCAUUUAUUGUAUUCCCAGUCACUCCCAAAAUUUACAGUAAACAUUUGACCUUGCCUGUUCAGGUUGAUCUUGAAAGUCUUAAGGGCUAGAAGACCUUUUAGAUUAGAGGAUGCAAGUGUGUUCCACAAGAGAUGUAUUCUGCCCUACAGUGGCUUUCCUCCAGUUCCAAGCCUGAAGGUUUGCUACAGUCCAAGCUUGAGUAUUUUUGGGGAGCAUUGUCAGAUUUUCUUUAAUAUUCAGGGCUAAUUUUAAUCUUUUCUUGUACAAUUUGGUAUUUUAUUCCAGGGUAUAAUAUGCCUCCCAGCAAAAGGAAUAUGGCAAAAUAAAAAACUGGUAUAAAUUAUAACAAUUUUAAGUCAAUAUGGCACAUGCUGUGGAGAUUUGAAAGCCCUAUUUCUCAUCUCUCGUUGUAUUGUAUCCACCUUAUGAACAUGGCAGAAUAGAAACUUUUAUACCUGCCCUCACAUUUUGAAUGGCCAAACUCUUAUAUGUACACCUAUGGUUUUUAGCUAUCUACAUAUGCAGCAUGCUAACAGACACAACCAGCAAUGUUAUAUUUUCAUAAUAUCCCUAAAAGAUUUCCUGAAAGUACUUUCACACUACUUUAAACAAUACUACUGAAGCAUGUCAGGCUUGUUUAUUCGCAAUGGCCAUCGUUUAACUAUUUGUGCAUAUAUACAAAAAAGUAUGAUUUCUUCCAACUACUUUAAAAAUCAUGGUAAGCUCAGCAGCUAUGCAUUAUC